AGUGAACGCUGGCGGCAGGCCUAACACAUGCAAGUCGAACGGCAGCACAGUAAGAGCUUGCUCUUACGGGUGGCGAGUGGCGGACGGGUGAGGCAUGCAUCGGAUACCUCUUUUUCGUGGGGGAUAACGUAGGAAAACUUCCGCUAAUAAAGCAUAUGUCCUACGGGUGUAAGCAGGGGUUCUUCGGGCUUUUCGCGAUUGAAUGAGCCGAUGUCGGAUUAGCUAGUUGGCGGGGUAAAGGCCCACCAAGGCCACGAUCCGUAGCUGGUCCGAGAGGAUGAUCAGCCACACUGGAACUGAGACACGGUCCAGACUCCUACGGGAGGCAGCAGUGGGGAAUAUUGGACAAUGGGCGCAAGCCUGAUCCAGCCAUACCGCGUGAGUGAAGAAGGCCUUCGGGUCGUAAAACUCUUUUAUUGGGAAAGAAAAUCAGCAUAUUUAACCCCCGCUGUUCUGACGGUACCCAAAGAAAAAGCACCGGCUAACUUCGUG
rnacentral:rRNA from 1 species